UACGAAGGGGGCUAGCGUUGUUCGGAAUUACUGGGCGUAAAGCGCGUGUAGGCGGUUGCCCAAGUCGGGUGUGAAAGCCUUGAGCUCAACUCAAGAAAUGCACUCGGUACUGGGUGACUAGAGGACCGGAGAGGAUAGUGGAAUUCCCAGUGUAGUGGUGAAAUACGUAGAGAUUGGGAAGAACACCAGUGGCGAAGGCGGCUCACUGGCCCGGUACUGACGCUGAGGUGCGAAAGCGUGGGGAGCAAACAGG
rnacentral:rRNA from 1 species